GUCUACAGCCAUGCCACCCUGAAUGUGCCCGAUCUCGUCUGAUCUCGGAAGCUAAGCAGGGUCAAGCCUGGUUAGUACUUGAAUGGGAGACCAAAUAAAAAUAAAAAUAAAUAAAUU
rnacentral:rRNA from 1 species